UUGCGGCCAUAUUACGUUGAAACACCGGUUCCCGUACGAUUGCUGAAGUUAAGCAAAGUCGAUCCUAGUCAGUACCUAGAAGGGUAACCGCUUGGGAAUAACACCUGCU